AGCUUCCUUAGCUGCCUCUCUCUUCUCUCUCCUCUCUUCUCUAUCAUUUUUCCUUCUCGAUCUCUCUGACCACAACGAAACGAUCUCUUCUCUAUUGUCCUCCUUCUCUGUCUGAUCUCGCUAUCCUCUUCUUUCCCCCCUCUUCUCCGACCUUUCUUCUCCCUUCUGUCUUUUGCCCACCACCGCUACUAACCACAGCCGCUACUAACCACCGCCGCCACCUACAUGUUUCUGGGUUUAUUAUUCGAGGUAAGGGUUUACUAACCACCGCCGCCACCUGCAUGUUUCUGGGUUUAAUAUUCGAGGUGUUGGUGUUAAUUGAUGCACAAGGAUUCAAGACUUUGAUUUUGGAAUAUUUUUUUUGAUGUUGUAAUUUUUAUUUGUAUUUUUCAAUAUCAAUUUAACGUUGAAUUUUAUUGUAUGAUUAUAAUUCAUUGUAUUUUUUUUUGUAUUGUACAAUAACAGUUUAAUAUAUUGAUAUAUUUCAUUGUCUUUUG